GCAUGGGCGGUGCUAUACAUGCAGUCGAGCGGACAGAUGGGAGCUUGCUCCCUGAUGUUAGCGGCGGACGGGUGAGUAACACGUGGGUAACCUGCCUGUAAGACUGGGAUAACUCCGGGAAACCGGGGCUAAUACCGGAUGGUUGUUUGAACCGCAUGGUUCAAACAUAAAAGGUGGCUUCGGCUACCACUUACAGAUGGACCCGCGGCGCAUUAGCUAGUUGGUGAGGUAACGGCUCACCAAGGCAACGAUGCGUAGCCGACCUGAGAGGGUGAUCGGCCACACUGGGACUGAGACACGGCCCAGACUCCUACGGGAGGCAGCAGUAGGGAAUCUUCCGCAAUGGACGAAAGUCUGACGGAGCAACGCCGCGUGAGUGAUGAAGGUUUUCGGAUCGUAAAGCUCUGUUGUUAGGGAAGAACAAGUACCGUUCGAAUAGGGCGGUACCUUGACGGUACCUAACCAGAAAGCCACGGCUAACUACGUGCCAGCAGCCGCGGUAAUACGUAGGUGGCAAGCGUUGUCCGGAAUUAUUGGGCGUAAAGGGCUCGCAGGCGGUUUCUUAAGUCUGAUGUGAAAGCCCCCGGCUCAACCGGGGAGGGUCAUUGGAAACUGGGGAACUUGAGUGCAGAAGAGGAGAGUGGAAUUCCACGUGUAGCGGUGAAAUGCGUAGAGAUGUGGAGGAACACCAGUGGCGAAGGCGACUCUCUGGUCUGUAACUGACGCUGAGGAGCGAAAGCGUGGGGAGCGAACAGGAUUAGAUACCCUGGUAGUCCACGCCGUAAACGAUGAGUGCUAAGUGUUUAAGGGGGUUUCCGCCCCUUAGUGCUGCAGCUAACGCAUUAAGCACUCCGCCCUGGGGGAGUACGGUCGCAAGACUGAAACUCAAAGGAAUUUGACGGGGGCCCGCACAAGCGGUGGAGCCAUGGGGUUUAAUUCGAAGCAACGCGAAGACCCUUACCAGGUCUUGACAUCCUCUGACAUCCUAGAAGAUAGGACGUCCCCUUCGGGGGCAGAGUGACAGUGGGUGGCAUGGUUGUCGUCAGCUCGUGUCGUGAAGAGUGUUGGGUUAAGUCCCGCACGAGCGCACCCUUGAUCUAGUGCCAGCAUUCAGUGGG
rnacentral:rRNA from 1 species